rnacentral:rRNA from 1 species
UACGAAGGGGGCUAGCGUUGCUCGGAAUCACUGGGCGUAAAGGGUGCGUAGGCGGGUUUUUAAGUCAGGGGUGAAAUCCUGGAGCUCAACUCCAGAACUGCCUUUGAUACUGAAGAUCUUGAGUCCGGGAGAGGUGAGUGGAACUGCGAGUGUAGAGGUGAAAUUCGUAGAUAUUCGCAAGAACACCAGUGGCGAAGGCGGCUCACUGGCACGGUACUGACGCUGAGGCACGAAAGCGUGGGGAGCAAACAGG